UACCUGUCGACCUCGCAUUCGGUCUGCCAGUCGACCAUCAGCCAAGUUCCCACUCAGAGUACGUUCGCAACCUCAAGUCAAACCUCGAAUCCAGCUACAAAAUAGCAACUGAAAUGGCAAAGAAAUCGGCCAGGCGCAACAAAGCAAGAUUUGAUAAACGCAUUGUUGAGUCCACCUUGAAGGAAGGCGACAGAGUGCUCGUCAGAAACCUUCGCAUGCGAGGCAAGCAUAAGUUAGCCGACCGCUGGGAACCUGAAGUUUACAUCAUUGUGAAACAGUCAAACAAUCUCCCUGUCUAUGUUGUUAAACCAGAGACAAAAGACGGUCCUCAAAGAACCCUCCAUCGUGACCUGUAUUUGCCAUGCGGUUUCCUUCCUGCUAGCUCAGAGGAAGCAGAACAAAUUGUGAAAAACAAACCAAGGCGACCCAAAACACGCCAACAAACAGAAAGUGUUGAACAAGAGUCCGAUUGUGAAGAUUCUGAUCCUCGCUAUUACUACGACUAUCAUGAUCUAGUAGUGGAAACCAAAAGUCCCUAUAUCUCACCUGACACAGAGAACCCUGAAACCGCUGUAGAGCACACUCCAGUGGAAACAACCAAAGCUGCUGAAACUAAAGAAAGUCAACAACUAUCGGAUGAGACACACUUACCGAAUGAGACAAACCUACCAGAAGAGUCCUUAACCGAACCUGUCGAAAGAAACUUACCUGAAGAGAAUCCAAUCGAAACUGACGAAGAUAUCCAAGUCGAUACUUACCCUGAAGAAGAAAACCUACCUCAAGUAGAUCCUGAAGAGUCCCCUGAAACAGACAGUCAAACCAAAGACAUGCCAGUAGAAACUGUCACUGACACAGACCAGUGCCCAGACGCCACUGACACUAGUGACACUAUCACUGAUCCCCUAAGACGUUCAAACAGACAUAGGAAACCUGCUCAGAGACUGACCUAUCCUGAACUAGGUAACCCACUUGUCACUGUAGUCCAUCUCUUUUUCAAAGCUUAGCAGUAGCAUUCACUGAACUGACUCUUUAAAUGCCCCUGAGAUAUUAAAGAUAGAAACUGUAUGAAACAUGUACGAGGACGUACAUGAGAAAAGGAGGGGAGGAUGUAACCCCCGUUACAAAUACACUCAGAAAUAAUAAAGCAUUUUACAAUGAUAUGAAAAGGUCAAUAAAUAUUAAUAAAUAACAUGAUAAAAACAGCUAAAAGUUGUGAAGAUAAAAAUAUAAAUAGUAUUAUAUAUUAAUAAUUCAUAGGUUUUGUUAUUAUUUUUGUUUAAAAAAGAGAAAU
rnacentral:lncRNA from 1 species